CCCAGCCUGUGCCUUUGCACAUAUGGCUGGGCCACGGCCAGUGGGUCAGCCGCAAAAUGUCUUUUGAUCAAUGCUGCUGCUUGACAACAUCUUGUCAACCCCGGGACCAGCGCUUGCUGACUUGCUGAGGGGGCAGGGCAUGCUCUGUCUCCUUGGUUUAAUUCUCCCGAAUCUUGGUUUGGUGGUAUCCAUGUGGGAGAGCGCCUGGGAGUGAUGCUGUGAUGAAAAGGACAAGGAGAUUUGCAUCUCUGGCCUCCUGUGGAGACCCGAUCUGCUGUCCUAGUGGGCAGCAGGUGUGAGCGCCUGCCAUUGUCCCUAAUGGUUAUUACCAGUGAUAAGCAGGACAAAUGUGAGGUCAUCUCUCCUGCUGGCAGGUCAGAGGGGGCUGGAUUUAGAGCCCCUAGGAGACUAGGAAAUUAGAUGGUCAGUAUCCACAGUGCAGGUUGUAACCAAUUCCAGGCUCCAGUGAUACUGGAAAUGGGCUCAGAAGGGGGAGGGGGCUGUUGCUAGGUAAAUGUGAUUCAAAAUAUAUAGUCAUACUUGGAAGCCAUUGAGAGCAUCUAUUGUCAGGAUGGUUGUGAGGCAAUAAUUAGUGCCGAGCUCUAAUAGAGGAACAGAAGGCAGGAAGGAGGCCUCAGUGAGGGGCAGCCAGGGGAUUUGGUUUCCUUUUGGUCCAUAACCAUGGGCCCAGAUUUCACAAAAGAGAAAGCCGGGAAGCCCUGCUGGUUUCUAAUUAAACCCCUUUGCCUUUGUCCAUUCACCCUGGGAACCAGUGAAGGCAGACUUCCUGGUUUCCUAACUCUGCUCUCUGACCUCCAGGGACCCUUUCCUAUUCUCUGCCUGUCUAGUCCCGGGGACUGCUGUUUUCUGGCAAGUCUGCCUCCCAUGGAGCUGUGCAUCCCUGGAAACCUGAGGUUCUGACUCCCUCCUACCUCUGUCCCUAUCUCUAGCUUUUCUUCCUCCAUACUGUCCUGUCUCCCCCUCCUUUCGACCUCCUCUGUGCCAUCCAUCAUCCCUCCUCUCCUAAGAGUGCUCUCUAAAUCCUAUUGCCUUUUUAUGUCUCUCUUGGGUUCUUCCUCCUGCCCUCUCCUGGAGCACAGUUUUCCUGCAUUUUGAGCAUCCCAUGGCUCAUGCCACUAAUGGCAUCAUAAUAGACUUUUAGAGGACAGGCAGCCUUCUCAUAGGACACACAGCCUCAUGGGUGACCCACAGCUCACCUCCUUCAAGAGGCAGUGCCCCCACCCCUGCAGGCAGCUCCAUUAAGAUUUCUCCAACCAGGCCAUACAGUGGGCCCUCAGUAUUUGUAUAACAGAAUGUGAGCCAGAAGCAGUAGAAAAGAGUCCUAUACCUUGAGAAAGCAGGUCAGUACUGGAGUAUGACAGAACCUGAAAUGGGGUGAGGUUCUAGAAGCAUCAUCCCUCCCCAUGGAAGUAAAAAAUACAGGAAAAAGUGUUUAUGAAAUGUGUGCUGUGGACCAGUCUGUUGGCAGACACUGCCUUGCCCUCAUGAAGCCCACCUUCUAGUGGCGGGAGAGACACAAUAGCAAGCAUAAUGGGUAAACAAAAGAUAAUAUGUUGGCAGAGUUGAAAGAAAAGGCACGAAAGUCUCACAAGUUGCCAUGAAGUGCUUUCCCGGAUGCCCAUCUAGGGGAGCUCCCCUCAGAACUUCCAGAGAGCCAGUCUUCCUCACCAGGAUUCCCAUCUUCAAUCCAAACCCAAAGUAACAGCGAGCCUUGAUCACCUUCAUGUUCAAAAACGAAAUAAUCCCCCCCGUCCUGCCAAAACCACAGAACUCUGCAGCCUUUGUGUGUAUCCCAUCAUAAAACCACUUUCCCAUGACUUCCUUAACAGUAAACCCCUGCUUGGGUACCAAGGAAUGGAGCUUUCGGUUUUUAAUGGACUGCAGCUGAAGCAAGUUCAAAAGUGCGAGGAUUGUAAACUUCAGAACAACUCUGCAAAUGCCGCACACCAUGGCAGAAUGAUUCAGGAGGCCAAACUUUGCCUCAUCAAGUCAGAGAAUUUUCUGCAAAUGAACUUUUCAAGAAUUAUGCCGUCGUUGGCAUUACAGUAUUACACACAGGCCUGUUCCCGAUCACUCACUGGAACUUAUUUUGUAGUUAACCUCCAUAAAGGACUGUGCAAGCGAGCACAGGCCUGUCACACACACAUUAUUUAGAAGCCCUUAUUAUUAUUUUAUUGCCAGUCCUUGACAGCUGAGGAAAAGCCAAGCGCUUUAAUCUUUUUUUCCCUUUAGUUUACAGUGUAAGAGCUGCAUGUAAGAUGGAUUUGAUUAAUAUGUAACAGAGAUGCAAUUCUCUGUAAAAUGUGCUGUACUUUAGCACCCUGGAAAACAAACUGCAUCACAAUGGCUUAAAUCUCAGUCCAUUGUAUUAUAUAGACAUCAUAAAUAAUAGAGAGCAGGCAGAUAUUGCUGCAGGCUUCAUCUGCAUAACACAUCUGAGCUCUCUAUAAUGUGUUCAACUUGUCACUUUUAGUACAGAAGAGAGGCAAUAAAGCUAACAGCUGACUAACACACAUCAGCCCUACUUCUACUUCCAGGGGGGUGAAUGCUCAUUAAGCCAUCUUAGCCCUGACUUUUAAAAUCCAUAACUCUUACAAAUGUAAAAAAGUUGCCACAAAAGAUUAAGCGCAUAAUAUAUGUCAAAGUAUAAUUUUUCAUGCAUCUCCCCCAACCACCACUCCCUGCUGCCACCGCCACCACCACACCAAAAUUCUUGUUUCUUUUAUAGCCCUUUCACUAGAGGAAAGAAAAUAAAAAAUCUGUUUUCCAGAUAAAACCAAAUGAAAUAUCAUCUUGUCGGCAUCGGUGAGGGACUACGUAAUUGCUUUUGAGUUUGGAGCAAAUGAGCUGACCCCAGGAGGAUUUAAACCUUUUUCCCUCUCUAAGACCAGCUCAAAGAGAAAUAUGGAAUCAAUCAUCCCCAGUUGGACUUGGCAGACAAGCCCUUAGGUCAGUCUUAGCAGCCUAAGGUAUGGCUUUAUGUUUACCUGCCUCAGUUUCCCUGUUGGGAACAGAAAGGAAAGAAAUUCUGCCCUGUUUCUGAUGGGACUGUAGGACUGAGGUCAGUCCUGUCUCUGUGACUAGAUUUGGUAGAGGUUCUGCUCAUCUGAUUGGUUUUCUUGUGUUUUAGAGCAAAACUUGAAAACAUUACAGUGUGUGUUUUUUGGUAGGAUGACUGAGCCCUUUUAGAGGAAUUAAGGUUGUCGAGGAAAAAAAGAUGUUUAUAUUCUCACUUGGAGGACGUUUACUCUCAUGGGAUGCAUUUUGGUGGCUAGGGGAGCCUUGUGGUCUCCUUCCUGGGGAGACUGUGGUGUAAAUUGUACAUGGAUGUAUAUAUCUUGUGACAUUCAUCUCUUUAGAAAAUAUACUUUAAAAUAUUUUCCUGGUGCCCAUAAGAAAAAUAAAUGGUGGAUGGUGGCCCGGAUGGUAGGAAGACAGGUUAGGAUGAAACAGGAAAUUUUUCCUAGCAGUCAUAAUUCUCUCAAGGGAAAAGGUUAGAGCCUCGACACUUGAAUGAGUUAGAAUAAGCUAAACCAACCUCUGGAAAAUAAACUCCCAGGGAAAAAAAAAAAAAAAAACGCAUAAGGUAGGGGCACUGGCAUGCCUACCUAAUAGAAAUUGGAAGCGGACACAGAAAUCCCAUGAUCCACUGGAGUGAAACACUAUUUACUUCUCUGAUUAGUACAGAACUCUGUCUGUGUGUGUGUGUGUGUGUGUGUGUGUGUGUGUGUGUGUGUGUGUGUGUGUGUGAGAGAGAGAGAGAGAGAGACAGACAGAUCAACUGAGACAGAGAGGCUUUCAUUGAUACCAGUGGUGCUUGUGGGAGGGGAUUGAAAGAAGGCUUGGUUCCCUUGGACAGGAGUGUGGGCCUAGAACAGUGAAACACUUUUCCACAGCCACAAUGACAAUUUGUUUUUGAGAAAGUCAUCAUUAAACUCUGACGUGGGCUGCAACACUGCUACCUUGGAAUUUUCUAGAGGGCCACCAGGCAGGCCCUGAAAACUCAGCUCCCACUGCCAGAGCCGGGGUUGUCAUUUCCUGCCAUUACUUCUGCAGGAGCUUCCUGUCUGGUGUCCCAGCAUCUGGGUUUCCUCUCUUUCCCCUUCCAUACUGCAGCCAGUGUGGCCUCAUCUUUCCUCGGCUCCAGUCCUACUAACCAAAGUCAUCCCC